GUGCUUUCUUUGUCGCACAUACACUAAAAUUGUAACAAUACAGAGAUUAGCGUGGCCCCGACACAAGGAUGAUAUGCAAAUUUAUGAAGCAUUCCGUUUUAAA